UGCGUAGGCGGCUGCCUAAGUCAGGUGUGAAAUCUCUCGGCUCAACCGGGAAACUGCGCUUGAUACUGGGCGGCUCGAGUGAGGUAGGGGUGUGUGGAACUUCCGGUGGAGCGGUGAAAUGUGUAGAUAUCGGAAGGAACGCCAGCAGCGAAAGCGGCACACUGGGCCUUUUCUGACGCUGAGGCACGAAAGCCAGGGGAGCGAACGGGAUUAGAUACCCCGGUAGUCCUGGCCGUAAACACUGAACACUCGAGGAGGGGGGCUUCGGCCUUCUUUCUCUUAGCGAAAGCGUUAAGUGUUCCGCCUGGGGAGUAUGGUCGCAAGGCUGAA
rnacentral:rRNA from 1 species